rnacentral:rRNA from 1 species
ACUUAAAUUGAAGAGUUUGAUCAUGGCUCAGAUUGAACGCUGGCGGCAGGCCUAACACAUGCAAGUCGAGCGGUAGCACAGAGAGCUUGCUCUCGGGUGACGAGCGGCGGACGGGUGAGUAAUGUCUGGGAAACUGCCUGAUGGAGGGGGAUAACUACUGGAAACGGUAGCUAAUACCGCAUAAUGUCGCAAGACCAAAGUGGGGGACCUUCGGGCCUCAUGCCAUCAGAUGUGCCCAGAUGGGAUUAGCUUGUAGGUGGGGUAACGGCUCACCUAGGCGACGAUCCCUAGCUGGUCUGAGAGGAUGACCAGCCACACUGGAACUGAGACACGGUCCAGACUCCUACGGGAGGCAGCAGUGGGGAAUAUUGCACAAUGGGCGCAAGCCUGAUGCAGCCAUGCCGCGUGUGUGAAGAAGGCCUUCGGGUUGUAAAGCACUUUCAGCGGGGAGGAAGGCGGUGAGGUUAAUAACCUCAUCGAUUGACGUUACCCGCAGAAGAAGCACCGGCUAACUCCGUGCCAGCAGCCGCGGUAAUACGGAGGGUGCAAGCGUUAAUCGGAAUUACUGGGCGUAAAGCGCACGCA